CUCCGCCCACUUCUUCCCCGAAGUAGACCUGACUCCGCCCACUUCUUCCCCGAAGUAGACCUUCUACGACGAUAAGUUGACUCACUGUACAAGAUCUUUCCCCCUUCACUCUAAUGCAGGGUGGGAGAUGCAACAAUGGCCUUGAGAACAGCAGGAAGUGUGUUGGGGGUCUUUGUCUGGUCUGUAGCAGGUAUGGUCUCAUUCAUAA